GAAAUGCGAUAAGUAAUGUGAAAUGCAGAAUUCAGUGAAUCAUCGAAUCUUUGAACGCACCUUGCGCUCCUUGGUAUUCCUUGGAGCAUGCCUGUUUGAGUAUCAUGAAAUCUUCAAAGUAAAUCUUUUGUUAACUCAAUUGGUUUCUACUUUGGUAUUGGAGGUCUUUGCAGCUUCACACCUGCUCCUCUUUGUUCAUUAGCUGGAUCUCAGUGUUAUGCUUGGUUCCACUCGGCGUGAUAAGUUAUCUAUCGCUGAGGACACUGUAAAAGGUGGCCAAGGUAAAUGCAGAUGAACCGCUUCUAAUAGUCCAUUGACUUGGACAAUACUUUUAUGAUCUGAUCUCAAAUCGGGUAGGACUACCCGCUGAACUUAAGC
rnacentral:misc_RNA from 1 species